GGGGAUGUAAGGCUUCGACGAAGAUCUUUUCAAAAAAACGCAGCUGAGGACAAUCCGUAACCUCAUUAAUCAACGGGUUAAACUAUAUCUGCAAAAAACAGAUUAGCUCCCGCGUUAGCUUUCGCUUAAUGCGGGGUUCCCCGCCAAAGCUUUAGCGACGGCGGGCAUCCGUUCUUAAUCGCUCAAGUUGAGAUAUUCGGGUGUUAUAAAUUGAGCUCUCCCGUUUAAAUCGCCGAUUAUAAACGGGGAAUAAAAUCGGCAAUGAUUAAGAAUAUUUUGCUUAAUUCAUAAUUCUUAAUUCAUAAUUCUAAUUAAGCUAAGCUUGUAGAAAUUUUUUUGGAUAAUCUUUGGACGGGGUUUCAAUACCCCCAUCUCCACU
rnacentral:tmRNA from 1 species